rnacentral:sRNA from 1 species
AUAUUUGACUCUGAAACACUAACCAAGCUUUUUAUUGCUUCUCAAAGCUUUGAUGGUGUAGCCGAAGUCCGUAUGAGUCUUAGGCUUUGUAUCUUCUAAUAAGGAACCACUACUUUAGC